UAACAACUUAGAACAGAACUUUAUCGGAAUAUAGCUCAACGUUAAACAGUUGACUUGCGUGUCUUGGAGAAUGUUCAGCAGUGAAGCGCUUUGCUUUACGACAACCUUAAUAGUUUUGAGUACCACAUACAACGCAGUUUGGACAGAACCGAUCAUUGAACAGGGAUUUGCGAGCAAGUCAGAACUGAAACUGUCUUGCAGCAGUAGUAUACACAGUAGUAAUGGAUUUUGGAAAUUUUACAGAAAUAACAGUAAUAACAUUGAAAAUAUAGCAAAGAUUAUAUACAGUGACAAUAAAUGCACAGUAAAAUCGAUUUACCCCAUAGAUUGUAGGUGUACCCAAGGGUAUCUUGUCAACUGCAUAGUGACUUAUAGCACUGAUGGGAACACAAGUGACGGAUGGUAUUGCUCGAAAUAUGCUGGUGAAUCUACAAAUUUUAGCGCGGAAAUACGUUUUGCAUCUCAAGAUAUGAGUGAAUGCACAAAAACAAAAGAUCCAGAGAAAUUCACUGAGGACGGAAAAGGAUUGACUACAGUUGUGAAGAAUAUAAACAAAGAAUCUAUGACUUACACACACGCGGCAG